UACGAAGGGGGCUAGCGUUGUUCGGAAUUACUGGGCGUAAAGCGCACGUAGGCGGAUCGAUCAGUCAGGGGUGAAAUCCCAGGGCUCAACCCUGGAACUGCCUUUGAUACUGUCGAUCUGGAGUAUGGAAGAGGUGAGUGGAAUUCCGAGUGUAGAGGUGAAAUUCGUAGAUAUUCGGAGGAACACCAGUGGCGAAGGCGGCUCACUGGUCCAUUACUGACGCUGAGGUGCGAAAGCGUGGGAGCAACGGG
rnacentral:rRNA from 1 species